rnacentral:lncRNA from 1 species
GUUGGUGGUAAAAAAUGCUCAGGGCGUUCCUAUAAAUACUGAGCUUAGACAAUGAUCGAUUUCACUCUUGAAUUUGAAAAAUCAAACUAACGUGUGUCCAAAUUUGUUCUGAUGAUUUUGAUAAGAGCAAUAUUAUGAUCGCCGAAUUAACUGAUCGAAGGCAAAUAAGACCAAAUUCUGAGCCUCAAAUAGAUAGUACCAUUUUUGCUGGGGCUUUAUCAUACAGGUUUUCUUCUAGUUUGUACCGCCACCCAAAAAAUGUUUUAGGUAAAUGAACCUCCAGACCAGCUGAGGGACUAGAGAAGGUCCCUACCUAGUCCCGCGAUUGGCAGUUUGGCUGGCCCCUCAAAUUUGAUUUUGCCUAAAAUCAUACAAGAUAAACUAGCCCUUCUCAAGAAGCCCUUCCCUCAAAACAACAGAAACGGCAUUGGAAAAAGAAGUUGGAAUUAACCAGUAUGUGCUCUUUCAUAGUAAGACAAUCCUCAUCUUCUGAUCUCUCAAUAGUUGGAUAUUUAUUAUCUCAAGAAAGUCGUCAAAGUAUCAGAAAAAGAAAGAAGUAUGUUAAUGAGGCAUUAUAAUGAUAUUAUGUAGAAAUUUAAGUCUUGUAAAAAUUUGGAAACAAAGAAAAUGAAAAAUACAUACUUUACAAAUAGGUCUUAGAAGAUUGAAAAAUAAAAUAAUAUCAAUGCAUCAGUUAAUUGAUUACUUAAAAGAAAAAUCUUUGAUAAGUGUAUCAACUGAAUUGACCAUUCAGGCUUCCUUAGCUGAACCAGUACAAAAUAUCUUUGAAAGAAUGUUAAAAGGACCUGCCACACAAAAAUCCAAUCUUCUGCUACUAUCCUUUGCUUUAACAUUGUCAUUUUAUUCGCCGAAAACAUAGAAUUUUAUAAGGGAUACAUAAACUGGCCCAGAGUUUUCUUAGGAGGCCUCUAAAUUCCAUUUAGUUUUCAACAAUAUUUUUGAUAUUUUUAACUCUCAGAAUGGAUUUACAAAAUAUUCAUAUAAAAAAAUUAUCAAAAAUAUAAGAACAACAUACUUUUUAAUAAUUUUGAAAUAAUUAAAUUGUAUAUUAUUGGACUUACUUUAAAAGAAAGGUCAACCAUAGUCACAAAGAAAAACGGGAUUUUUGGGCUUUCUAAUUUGUAUGGAAAGCUUACAACGUAUGUAUAAAUACUAUGUAAAAGAAAAUCAAUUAUUGAAAUAUAUUUUGACUAACUGGUGGAGGUCCACGUAUACAAAAAGCAAAAACGGAAGAUAAUAAUAUAUUCAAUCAAUGUAAAAAUGAGAAGAGCAUUGUGGGAUUAAAAAACAUGAUGGUGAUAGAUUGUCUAAAACUAAUAGGAGUACUGGUAUUUCUCAAAACAAAACUGAUGGUUACAAAGAAACAGAAGAAAAGGGAAGAUAUUAAUUUACUAGACAAAAGGCUGUUCUUUUGUAAUAUGGAGAUGGGCAAAAUUCAAAGUAGUAGUAUUCAAAACAGAGAAGAACAUAAGCUAAAGAAAAAAAGGGUUGUUAGACAUUGAAAUAAAAAAAGAACAGUAAAGUUCUCAAAGAGAACUUAUUUAAUAAUUUUAAUUAGUGUUUAUAUUGUAAUGUAAAAAAUGUAAUAUAUGUUAUUUCUGAAUAAAAGACAUUUAAUAAUGA